CGGAUCAGAAUUUGUGAGUAAAUGGGACAGCAGCAUCCCAAAAUAUUCCUGUGCCGAAAUUGUGCCAAUGGACAGAAUGCAAGGAGACUCUGCGAGUCCUGCACCACCAGGAAACGCAGAGAAGAGCAGGACUGGAGAACAAGACUCAGGACUAAAUGUGUUGGGAAAAGCACAUGAGUUCUUUCAGAUUUGUGAUGUGGAAGGCAAGGGCUUCAUCACUCGUCAAGACAUGCAGAGGCUGCAUCCUGAGUUACCACUUAGCCUGGAAGAGCUUGAAAAAGUUUUUGUUACAUUGGAUGCUGAUGGCAAUGGCUCGCUUACCCUAAAGGAGUUCACCACAGGAUUCAGCCAGUUUCUUUUGGGGCAGAUUGCUUUGAAUAAUGAGAUGAUGCAGCAAUCAGAAGGGGAAACAGCCUGCCCGCUUAAACGCAAAGAGACCGUGAGUGAUGAUGAGGAUGAAGAAUUCCAGUUCUCAAAUCUGAUGAACCGGCUUGGAGCUGAAAAAGUUUUGGAUGAUGAGAGUGGUGUGAAGGAACUUUGGUUGCAGCUGAGAAAAGACGAACCUCAUUUACUUUCCAAUUUUGAAGAGUUCCUGGUCAGAAUUUUUUCUCAGCUCCAAGAAGCAGAUAAUGAAAAGAACGAGUUGGAAUGCGCUCUAAAAAAGAAAAUUGCUGCUUAUGAUGAAGAAAUUCAACAUCUUUAUGAAGAAAUGGAACAGCAAAUCAAAAAAGAGAAAGAACAGUUUCUUCUGAAAGACACAGAGAGGUUUCAGUCCUACAGUCAAGAGCUGAAGUGCAAACUCCUGUCAAAAGAACAAGAACUGGAACAACUGGCGCAGAAACAGAAAAGGUUAGAGCAGCAAUGUACAGAACUUCUCAGUGGCAAAGAAGAAACCAAAGCAGAGAACACCAAGCUGAAGUUGACUAACAAGGAGCUGCUGAGAGACCUGGAGAGAACUUCUCAUGAACUAAGCCAGGCUCAACAACAGUUACAGGUGCUUCAGGAGGAGGCAUCAAAACUACAGGAGGAGAAGGAAAUGGAGGUGUACCGAGUGACAGAAACCUUACAGAGAGAGAAGUCAGGACUUCUGAAGCAGCUGGAUUUUUUAAGGGAGAGGAACAAACAUCUCAAAGAUGAACGUGACAUAUUUUUACAGAAAUGCAAAACAAGUGUUGCAAAAGCCAGCUGGAAGCAGCGAUCAGGGUCUGUCAUUGGGAAAUACUUGGAGGGCAAGAUGCUGCCUAAUAGCCAUUCAUUUGAAGAAGAUGAUGUUUUCAGUAACUCAAAGAGAAGGAAUUCUGCUGGACUGAAUGGAAUUCUCUCUGUAGAGCCUGAUACUGGAGCCACUGGAGGAAAGUCUAAAGCAUCGCAUCUCCAAAGAAUAAUAUCAAUUGAGGAAGAUCCCCUACCCCAGCUUCUUGACAGGCUGGCUGAUAAGCAGCUGAAUAGAUGGACUGAAGAAGAUGAGAAUACUACUUCUGAGAUGGAAAUGGAUAAGAAAAACACAGAACAAUCAAUGGAACACUCACCAUCAUCUUCUAGAGAGCAGCCUGUAGGGAAGGAAACACUGUCGUCAAAUGAGGAGAGAAUAAACUCUGUCCUGGACCACUUAUUCAAGAUUAUUGUUGUGGGCAAUUCGAGUGUUGGAAAGACUUCAUUCUUAAGGCGGUUUUGUGAAGAUUGUUUUUUCCCAGACACAGCUGCUACUGUAGGUGUGGAUUACAAUGUGAAGACCAUCACAGUAGAUAAUACCCAGGUAGCCCUGCAACUCUGGGACACUGCUGGCCAGGAACGGUACCGAAGUAUUACCAAGCAGUUUUUCAGAAAAGCUGAUGGUGUAAUUGUCAUGUAUGAUAUAACAGCAAAAGACACAUUCACAGCUGUCAAGCAGUGGCUGAUAAGCAUCGAGGAGACAGCUGGGGAGAAUGUACCUGUGCUUUUGUUGGGGAAUAAAACUGAUAACGAGAAGGAACGGGAGGUCCCUAUGGGAAUGGGAGAGCAUCUUGCUAAGGAUUACAAUUUGAUUUUCUAUGAAUGCAGUGCAUAUUCUGGCUACAAUAUCGAAAAGCCCCUGAAUCACUUAGCUAGGAUUUUAAAGGAACAUGAAGAUAAAGUGAAAGAGAAAACCAUUGAACUUCAAUCUGAUAUGAAGAAAAAGUCUUGCUGUGUCAGGACGUAAAAUGCUGGGGCAUGUUUAGACAAAUGUCAUACAUUUAUACGACACUACACGGCACCAUCACAUUUACAUUGUCUUCCAAAUUUUUCUUCUGCUGUAUUCUGCGUAUGGGUCCUUUGUAGAAUAUAAAUGAAAAUAAGAAACUUGAGAGUGGGUCGCCCAGCCAGCACAUGAUCAACAAUUAUUCUUCGUGGUAUUUUUCUUCACUGCAUCCAUCUAUUGAGGGCUGCGUUGUACUGGAAAUGUGGUGGUUCAUUUGAGUAAAUGGAAAUGGCUAGACAUGAAAGCACAGAACUGAACUGCAAAAGAAGAUGUUCUGUUUUCCACAUGAGGAUUCAUGGGUCAGCUCAGGCUUGAUUUUGCUGACUGCUGUGCUUCUAAAAGACCACGUUUGAUUAUUCAGAGGAAUGGCUUGGAUUGUAGCCCAA